rnacentral:lncRNA from 1 species
GAUUUGACUCCCCGAGCAAACAUAUAUCUUUGAUAACCCCCCCACCUGGAGUGCUAUGAUUUUUUGACACAAGGUCUCGCUCUGUCACCCAGGCUGGAUUGCAAUGGCGUGAUCUUGGCUCACUGCAACCUCCGCCUCCCGGGUUCAAGCGAUUCUCCUGCGUUCAAGUGAUUCUCCUGCCUCAGCCUCCAGAGUAGCUGAGAUUACAGGCGUGCGUCACCACACCCGGCUAAUUUUUUGUAUUUUUAGUGGAGACAGGGUUUCCCCAUGUUGGCCAGGCUGGUCGCGAGUGCC